ensembl:lncRNA
UUACUGUGCGUGCUGAAGGCCACAUUUAUAAAGUGAAAUAAAAUCGGGAAACCAGGAAUACAGUAAAAACAAAAGGCAAUGACUGCAAAACACCAAAUCUAUAUUUACAUCCACAUAUAAUAACAUAACUUUAGGCUGAAAUAUAUCAUAAAUAAAAUAAGUAAUGUCUACUGUUUGACAAGUAACAAUUAAAAUAAAUCAAACUGGAAUAAAAUAAAUACAUCAACAAAAAUUCAACGAAUUGUACCUCUAUUAAAUGUACUGUUGUCUCAAAGGAAAAAAACAUACAAAAGCAGUAGUAUUCCAAUAGUUAAUACUGAUGGACACAAACAUACUUUGAAGUACAAAGGGCUGUUAAAAAAAAUUGCUAUUUUUAUGCGUUCAGAAAUGUAGUUGGAAAGGAGAUACAAAAGCCCAAAAAUUUCAGCGUAACACAAACUUGAUUUGUUUUCACAUAGAUUUGGUGAUUUUUUUUUAAUAGUUUUAAAUUCCAGCCCGCUGUUACCACAUCCCUUUUUUAAGACUUACAUUUAUAUCCCAGCAAGCUUUCUGUAACACUCACUGGAUUAGGCAAAGACUGAAUCAAUCAUUUUGCAAAUGUGCUAAUCUUCAAAAAUAGGCUAUAAAAAGUGCAAAACUAUGAAAACACCCAUCUAGAUUAUGUACAUAUGGCUCAGCUUGUGAACAGGACUUGGGCGAGCGUGCACUCCGGCUCGACCUGGGAGCCCACACCGGGAGGCAGACCCAGGACAGCGUGCUGCUGCCUAAGGAAACACUGGGCUUCUUAGAGCACUUCGCCCUCCACAGAGGAGCAGGGCAGAAAAAAUGGGCAGUGCAAAUUUAUCUUUGAAAUAGUUUCUUCAUAAAAUAUUCUGUGGUUGCUAAACUCAUGAACUGCUGGGAAAACUCAGCCAUGGACAACACAUCAAAGAAACACGAGUUUAAAACGCCAAGUGGGCUCCCAUCUAAAACCCAAACUGCCUGUGCGUGGGCGAAACAGCCUCAUAUGCAGGAGACCAGCGGGGUCCCAGUUCCCUGCCCCGCCCUGGGGGCUUGGCCAGCGGUUAGUUUCCUAGUUUCCCACUCUGAAUCCACGUCUGCACUACCUGGUGGCUGCGACUCUCAGAUACACACCUAACAUCUGCCCCAAGGCCCUUCAUUCCCUUAAAAUUGCUUCUCACUAUUUGCAAUCUAGCAUUUUUUAUAGAUUAAUUUAGCCAAACACUCCCCAAAAAGCUAAAUCUUCCCACAGAAGCAACAGAUGGCAAAAAACGGAAACAGCUCCACAAACAGCUCAGCGGACAGGCUGGGGACACCGGACAGGCCCAGGGACACCGCCUCAUGAGGGACGGGGUCAGGGUGCAGCCCCCCGUCUUCAGAGAGGGCCACGCCCGACACUUCCGCCAACAUUUUGUUCAGACAACAGGUUGGGGGGAUUUGACACAAUACAGACCCUUAGAAAAUUUUUAAAAACAAACAUUUUUAAAUGAGCACAAACAGCAGACAAUGCUACAGGUGUUGAGCUCCAUCAGGGAAAAGGAAUACACACAGUAUUUAAACAAGCAGGUUUACAACUUAGAUAUUUACAGACUCUUACCUGAGAUGCAAGCAUGAUAGACUUUCCCCGCCCCCGCCCCAGCCCCAGUGAUUUCUCUUCAGCAGCGCUC